UACGGGAGGCAGCAGUGGGGAAUAUUGCACAAUGGGCGCAAGCCUGAUGCAGCGACGCCGCGUGAAGGAAGAAGGUCUUCGGAUUGUAAACUUCUAUCAGCAGGGAAGAAAAAAUGACGGUACCUGACUAAGAAGCUCCGGCUAACUACGUGCCAGCAGCCGCGGUAAUACGUAGGGAGCGAGCGUUAUCCGGAUUUACU
rnacentral:rRNA from 1 species